GAACCUCUCUCCAAGCAGCCUGGCCAGUGUCAGCCGGCAGCCGCAGACCCACUGGAAACUAUCUUCCAGCUGCCCGUGUUCGGUGCAGAAGCAUCCGGACACCGUUUGCCGCAGUAUAUGCUAGUACGACAUUGCCACGGAAGUGUUUUUUGGCGGACUCCAGAUCCUAACAAAUACUACCUGCUCCACUGGGACCUCCCGCGACAGGGACCUCCAGGCCUCCUAGGGACAGGGGAGCCAGCUCCUGCUUCCUCCUGGCCAGACUGGGCAGAAAGCAAGGCAGAUGCUCUUUACCUCAAGGAAACCAACUGGUCUCUGUGCUCUGUCCUCUGAUCCCACCUGCACGGGAGGAGCCUCACUGUCAUUCAGUUACCGCAAACAAGGUGCGGAGAUCCGAAUCCUGCUCUCCAACAGCACUACCUUCCUCCUGUCGGUUCAGCGCUCACCCAGAAGUCGGCCCCAAAGUCCCCUGAGACAAAGCACACCUGUGUCCAUCUGUUCCCUACUACGGCCAUAACAACAACCACAAACUUCCGAGCUUAAGAUAGCACAAAUGCUAGCUUCUCAGUUCUGUAAAAUCCUAAGUCCGAAAUGGGAAUCCCUGGGCUAAAAUCAAGGUGUCAGCAGGGAUGCACUGCUUUCUGGAAGCUCCAGGCUGGCCUUGUUCAGCUGCUAGAGGCCCCUCUGUGCAUGUUCAAAGCCAGCAGGGUUGCGUCCGACCCUUUUACUGCAGCCCCUCCCUCUGACCACAGCCAAAAAAGGUCUGCAGCUCAUCAUCUCCCCAUCUCAAGGUCCUUAGUGUGGGUCACAUCUUCCAAGUCCAUUCUGCCAUGGAAGGUCCCAUAUGCCCAGGUUCUGGGGAUUAGGACAUGGAUACCUUUUGGGGCUAUUAUUCUGCCCACCACAAUCACCAUCUCUAAGGUUCCGUGACAGAGAAUUCUCUCUCGUGCUCUUGCCGUCUCAUACUCUUCCUUACGUUGCUUCUGACUCUGUUUCUUUCUUAUGGUUUUUCUUUCUAGUUUCUUCCUAGAUGAGACUAUUCCAUUAAAGAAAUGUUCACGUUUUAAAUACAUAUUCACCUGAUCCUCUAUCAGAGAAAGUUGAUAUUUGAGACACACACGAAGCAUCAGUGACGACACUUGACAAUAAACACUGGAGACCACAGGACUACUGCACACAGAGCCCUUCCGGCAACCAUCUGUGGCUGAGCUCAGGGAAGACGGCCUACAGGGCGCCUUCCCCACAGCCGCUGGCGUUCUGAGCACAGCGCAGUGGCUCACAGAGCUCGUGACUGCUGCCAACUCACAGAAUCCCAAACUGUCCCUGUGCUUUCCACUCCGAUCAGAAAGCUGAUUUUAAAUUGAUCAGAAUGGGGGCGCCUGGGUGGCUCAGUCGGUUGAGCGUCCAACUUCGGCUCAGGUCAUGAUCUCGCGGUUCGUGGGUUCAAGCCCCGCAUCGGGCUCUGUGCUGAUGGCUCGGAGCCUGGAGCCUGC